rnacentral:rRNA from 1 species
CCUACGGGAGGCAGCAGUGAGGAAUAUUGGUCAAUGGGCGCGAGCCUGAACCAGCCAAGUAGCGUGAAGGAUGAAUGCUCUCCGGGUUGUAACCUUCUUUUAUAAAGGAAUAAAGUGAGACACGUGUGCCUUUUUGUAUGUACUUUAUGAAUAAGGCUCGGCUAACUCCGUGCCAGCAGCCGCGGUAAUACGGAGGAUCUGAGCGUUAUCCGGAUUUAUUGGGUUUAAAGGGAGCGUAGAUGGGUGGUUAAGUCAGUUGUGAAAGUUUGCGGCUCAACCGUAAGAUUGCAAUUGAUACUGGCAGUCUUGAGUACAGGUGAGGUAGGCGGAAUUCGGGGUGUAGCGGUGAAAUGCGUAGAUAUCACGAAGAACCCCGAUUGCGAAGGCAGCUUACUAAACUGUGACUGACAUUGAUGCGCGAAAGUGUGGGGAUCAAACAGGAUUAGAUACCCCUGUAGUC